rnacentral:pre_miRNA from 14 species
AAUGAAAGGAACGAUCGUUGUGAUAUGCAUUAUUUUCAUAGCCAUAUCACAGUGAUUUUCCUUUAUAUUGC